rnacentral:lncRNA from 1 species
UUUUCAAAAUGAUUUGACUCUUUAAAACUGGUUUGCGAAUAGAGAUUCCGGCUAAGGAAUUCUGUUGACCGAGGGGAAGGUGUUAGGCACCCCUCAAUCCCGUGGUUCGAGCACGGUCGCUUGGUGGAGCGUAUCGGCUAAAUUUGACAUUAUGGAUGUAUAAAACAACAAACAACAACCAUGAAACAAACAAGCCAACCAAACAAAAACAGGUCCAAAACAACAAUGUCUAGUUCAAUUUAUUACAAACUGAAAUAGAAAAUACUAAAAUAAACCUACCCUAACCUAUACUUAGUCCUAAACUAUAGUCUACCCGAUGCCUUGGGCCUCGGUCACGAACAUCCUUCGCGUACAAAAUCUUCGGGGUACUCCUUGAUGAGUAAAUACAAACAACCUUGGGGCAUUCCCCGAUCAAAUAAAUACACUUUUUAAAUAUGGUAAACAAAACAUUCAACAAAUAUUUCAAACAUUCCAACAAUCCACCAAUUCUAAAUUUGCCUACCCAAGCCUACUAUUUGCCUACCCGCUCGACAACAGAUCACGUUCAACAUCAACAAUGAAUCAAAAUACCAUAAUAUUCACUUUUAUUAAUUUUCAAUUCCUAUUCCCCAAAUCCAUUUUUAACCAUAUGAUUAAAUCAAUUCUCUACGCCGUUCUUCAGUCAAGUUUUCAACUCCAAAUCCAACAUCAAACAAACAACAAACAAGGAUUCAAACAUGCCAACCAUAAAAAUCAUUCAUAAUCACAUAAAAAUUAUAAGAAGAAAAGGUAGAAUUGGACCUCAAUAGAGCGUUCUCGUAACAAACAACAACCAUGAAACAAACAAGCCAACCAAACAAAAACAAGUCCAAAACAACAAUGUCUAGUUCAAUUUAUUACAAACUGAAAUAGAAAAUACUGAAAUAAACCUACCCUAACCUAUACUUAGUCCUAAACUAUAGUCUAUCCGAUGCCUUGGGCCUCGGUCACGAACAUCCUUCGCGUACAAAAUCUUCAGGGUACUCCUUGAUGAGUAAAUACAAACAACCUUGGGGCAUUCCCCGAUCAAAUAAAUACACUUUUUAAAUAUGGUAAACAAAACAUUCAACAAAUAUUUCAAACAUUCCAACAAUCCACCAAUUCUAAAUUUGCCUACCCAAGCCUACUAUUUGCCUACCCGCUCGACAACAGAUCACGUUCAACAUCAACAAUGAAUCAAAAUACCAUAAUAUUCACUUUUAUUAAUUUUCAAUUCCUAUUCCCCAAAUCCAUUUUUAACCAUAUGAUUAAAUCAAUUCUCUACGCCGUUCUUCAGUCAAGUUUUCAACUCCAAAUCCAACAUCAAACAAACAACAAACAAGGAUUCAAACAUGCCAACCAUAAAAAUCAUUCAUAAUCACAUAAAAAUUAUAAGAAGAAAAGGUAGAAUUGGACCUCAAUAGAGCGUUCUCGUAGAUAAUAAAGAAGUCCAACAAACCAAGAUCCUCGAGCAAUGGACCCCAACAACGAGCAAACCAAAUCAAUGUAGAGAGUAAGAGAAACCCGCUACAAAUUUGUGGUUAACUAAAAACACUAAUUAACUUCGAACGACGUCUAAAAGCAAGAUGUCAAUGACAAAUCCCAAAGAUAGACCAACUCAAACCUCCCAAAAAUCCAAUGGAAAACUGAAAACUAGUAUAGUUUGAGCUCCAGUGAGCUGACAUAUCAAGAUCUAGUUAGUAAUGAACCGAAUCCCACAAAGAAAUCGCCGAAAUCGCUUGAAAACGACCAAAAAUAGUUAGCUCCGAUGAUUCUUGAUAUACUUUGACAUUUUCCCAGUGACACUGUCGGAGAACACUAUGAAUCAGUAAAGAAAUUUUGGGGAAUUUUGAAGUGGUGGUGAUUUUAAACCUAUGAUGCCUGAAAAUGAUCAAAAUAAUUAGUUCCGACGAUAGGUUUGCCAGAAAACUCAAAACCCAGUUCCCCUCUCUCGAUCUUCUGUCUCUCUCUUUGUUAGUCUCCCUCUCUCUUCCCUACUCUAUUUUCUAUGUGUGUGCGUGCGGAUUAAUUCGUGAAAAGAAAGAAAAUUGAGAAGAAGUUUUUUUUGUCUCCUCUAUACCUCUGUCUCCAUUUUUUUAUUUUCGUGAUGAAGAUGAUGAUUAAAUUGGUCCCUUCCUAUUUCCUGGAAUGUUGAUCCUUUGUUUUAUGUGCAUGAUAUAUGCUUUCAAUGAAUUGGUAAAUAAAAAGGAACCUUUAAGUGGGCCCCACCAGUUAUUGUAUGUAUUUUCUUGUGUGCCCCUUUUUGUAUUUGAUAUAUUUGAUUGAAAAGGAUGAGAACGUUAAGGAUGAGGGGUUAAAGGUAGGGUAGGGGUAGGAGGGUGGGGUAGGGUUUAGUGUUUAGAUCAGGGGUGAGGUGUCCUAAUUUUAUUGGAAAGUUUGUUGGGAUGUUUAACAUAAGACAAAUUUGUUAGGAUUUGUUAUUUGGAUAAAAACAAAAAUAAAUAAAUAAAUAAGUGAAAGAUGAGGUUGUUAUUUAUUUGUUUUUCUUGUGGAAAAAUUUACCACUUGGAUAGGAUACACGGUAAUAUGGGGUAACCGAUAAAACUAAGUUGUGAAGGGGACAAAAUUACGUGUCUACAUCAUGCCCCCUUUGGAUGUAAACACAAGGUGUUUUCAGACAAAGAAGUAGACAACGAGACAGAAUUUUGUUCCAACUGCUAUUCAAAGGAAGAAACAGAAGGAGGCAGGACAAUCGAGUCUUGACUUAGGACAUCCUACCUACCCAAGUUAUAAGGAAAUCAAGUGAUAGGUAUCUCAAAUGAUUAGGAAGGAGAUGGACUAUACCGAAUUGGAGAGUCGAGUGAGGUCCGCUUGAGGUUCCAGUCCGCGUCUUAGUACUUACAUCAGAAAUGAAAAUUACAAGUUAACACCUAAAUGAAAUUACAAAAAUCCUAUCUAUGCAGCUUCUUUUGGACUUUUGACUCGAGUUUUAUCACCCUAUUGUUCAGGCGGGCUCCUGACUUGCUAUUUCUUUAACUCAUUGCUUUGCUUUCAAUUGCUUUACCUUGUUCUUCAGGCGGGCUCCUAACUUACUAUUUUUCCUUUUGAUUUCCUUGCCUUGUCGCUUGACUUUCAACUUCUUGACCUUGUUGUUUGACUUUCAACUUCUUGACCUUGUUGCUUGACUUUCAAUUUCAUCAUCCUGUUCUUCAAGCGGGCUCCUGACUUUCAAUUUUCAUCACCCUAUUCUUCAGGCGGGCUCCUGACUUUCAAUUUCAUCACCCUAUUCUUCAUGCGGGCUUCUGACUUUCAACUUUUAUCACCCUAUUCUUCAGGUGAGCUCCUGAUAAAAAAAGAUUUCAUUCAUUUAUUUUUUAUUGAAAGUAAUGUCCCCUUUUCUAGGAGGAUCCUGAACAUAAAAUAAAUUCUCAUUUUUCAGGAGGGUCCUGAACAUAAAAUAAAUUCCCAUUGUUUAGGAGGGUCCUGAACAAAAAAUAAAUUCCCAUUUUUAGGAGGGUCCUGAACAGAAAGUAAAAUCUCAUUUUUCAGGAGGGUCCUUAACAGAAAGUAAAAUCCCAUUUUUCAGGAGGCUCCCGGACAUAAAGUAAAUUCUCAUUUUCCAGGAGGGUCCUGAACAUAAAGUAAACUUCCAUUUUUCAGGAGGGUCCUGAACAUAAAGUAAAUUUCUAUUUUCUAGGAAGGUCCUGAACAUAAAGUAAAUUCUCAUUUUUUAGGAGGGUACUAAACAGAAAGCAAAAUCCCAUUUUCCAAGAGGGUCCUGAACAGAAAGCAAAAUCUCAUUUUCUAAGAGGGUCCUGAACAGAAAGUAAAGUCCUAUUUUUCAGGAGGGUCCUGAACAGAAAGUAAAAUACCAUUUUUUAGGAGGGUCCUGAACAGAAAGUAAAGUACCAUUUUCAGGAGUGUCCUAAACAGAAAGUAAAAACUCAUUUUUCAGGAAGGUCCUGGACAGAAAGUAAAAUACCAUUUUUCAGGAGGGUCUUGAACAGAAAGUAAAGUCCCAUUUUUCAAGAGGGUCUUGAAAAGAAAGUAAAAUCCCAUUUUUUUAGGAGGGUCCUGAACAGAAAGUAAAAUCUCAUUGAUGUGCUUUUCUAAUGUUAGCUGAAUUAAGUGAAGGGAAUUUGCCCUUGUUUCAACAAAGAAAAUUUGUCAAUUAAAAACUUAGUGGUGGAUUGCAGCACUUGGUUUUCCCGACACCUGCUCCAAUAUUUAUUCCCUUCAUUUUAUUUCAUAUUGCUGGCACUUUCCCCUACUUUGUUGCAUCACUGACCCAAACUCAGAUUAUUAAGAGUGACUUUGAAAUAAACAUAAUAUCUCUGCUUUGCCGUGCUUCUCAGAUAAACCCUUUAAACCUUGGUAUUUCCAUGAGUUCCCAGACUUGUCUGUUGACAAAACUUUCGGCAUAUCUUAUUUCAACUCACAAUCAUGCCUCUUUUAUGUGCUUGUCUUUCUGUCUUACUUUGUGCAAUUGAAGAAGCUGGUAGGCAGUUUUGAAAUCUUUCCUCACUUGUGUUGACAUGGACUAGACUCAAAGACAAGAGAAAAAAAUGACAAUAAUUUUUAUUUGGAUAACUGAUUGAAGAAAAAUUAAAUAAAACACAAAGAAGAAAUAAAAUACAAUGAAUGUCCCCAUUUGAAACAAAGAAACGAAAAAUUUAUCUAAAAAUGACGGUCAACUCUAGUGAUUAUACCAUGCAUUUUGGAUUAAGUUGUCUGAUCUUUCCAUCCAAACUUUCUAUCAAUUGUUGUUGAGUCAAUGACCUUGAAAUUGAGUUGCUUUCUUAGGUCAAUUACAUUUAAGACCUUAUUUGGCUAGUGGCGCCUUAAAGGGUUUUUGCCAACAAGCCUUUCUCAUUUUUUAUCUUAGCUCAUCAUUUCCUUAUAAUGUCCGUGAGCUUUUCUCUAAUGAAACUCUCUUAUUAUUAUUUCUCCUAACUCACAGUCGUCUUAUAGUGCCCAUAAGGGUUUUCACCGACAAGACUCUCUCAUUUUUAUCCCUCUCAACUUACCAUCAUCAUACAAUGCCCGUGAUGGUUUUCCCUAAUAAGACUCUCUCAUUUUUUAUUUCUCCCCUGAUUUCUUAUGCCGAGGAAGACAAGUAGUUCCCAAAAUGCGUCAUCACAUUCAUUGCAUGCUUAGCCUUAAUAUUCUCAAAGAUUUAUUUGAAGGUCUUUCUUUGGUUGUAACUCGGAUUUUGGAUAAGGUUAGAAAGAAAGGAUGGAAUGAGGUCCAAACGACACUUGAAGUGGGGUAGGACUUACAACUUUUGGAAUUGACUCAAACAAUGAGGAUUAACUCAUGCCCUAGUUUCUUUGACUGGGCAAUUCUAAAUUGUUCAUUUGAUUGGUUGGACUGAGACCAUAGUAGGGCAGCCUACGUAUCUCACCCCCGAAAUAGUAGAAUCAGGUCACAUGUAGUUCCAGCAACUUGUUCUUUCUUUUGAUCUAAUUUUUCUUUCUUUUUCCUUUUAUUGGCUCUUUUCUCUUUGGGAUUCUUUUUCUGACUCCAUUUUCUUGACACUCUUGUUUUCUUUCUUUUUGGAUAUAUUUUGCCUCUUUUGGAAACUUUUCUGACCCUUUUUUUUGACACUUUUUCUUGGAUGUUGCAGACUCUAUCCUGAUUCCAAAAGAGGGGUAUGAAAGAAAAUAGAACUAAGGCUCAAAUGAGGUAAACAAAAGGUGACACAAUGUUAGGAUAGCAGAAUAAAAUGCCUUCGUCAUAUCAAUCCUUGAAAAUGUAAGUACACAUCACGCAAUAUGAAAGUGAGAGAUGAAGAUCAUGUGUGACACUUUAACAAUACAAACUUUAACUGAGUAUGUGUGCCACUUCUUUCUUCUACACUUGUCAAACAUACGACUCCACCGUUGUUGUACAUCCCUUACAUUGAAUGACUCAUGAUUUUGUGGAGAUGAUUUUCUUCCUAUUUCUUUUGAUAUAGGAUCACACAUUCCUUGUUUGACCUAAUUGGGAUAUGCCUUUCGAUUGAUGACCAAGUUAUCCAUGUGAUUCUCAAAAUAAAUGUCUUAAUUUUCAAUGAAGGCUUCAACUUGAUCACCAAAUUCCUCAUCACUCUACCUAUUUUCUCAAAUGCUCUCUUUUCUUAACUUUAACUUUCUGAUUCAAUGUUCAUGCUUAAAUUAGAUUUAAAGAUCUGGCUGAAAAUUUCGUUAGCAUGUCAUAUCACUAGAGUCGACAUAAAAUGUACUAUGGAAAGAAAAUAAACAAAUACAUAUUUAAAACACAAAGGAAAAAGGGACACUCUAUUUAAUUAAAAUGAAAGAUAGAAGGGUUUGAACAUAACGACAAAUGGUCAAAACAAGAUAGAUCCCAAACUACAACCCUGAAAUAAUUCGAAUAACAGAAAAUAAAAUAAAACAAACUACCAGACCUUUUCCUAAAAGGGAGAGGGGUGACUUCUCAAUUGCUCAGCCUAACAUCUUAGCCACUGGUUUACAUAUCAGCAUGACUAGAGCUUUUCUCACUGCCAAUGUUCUGCACCAUAGUUGAUCUAUCUUGAAUCAUCUUUUCAAUUUCUCUUUUCAAAGCCCGAUAAUCUUUAAUACUGUGACCCUGAACAUCAGAAUGAUAUGCAUAUCGUACACUAGGGUCAAAACUUCUUGAAUGAGGGUUAGGAGUAUACCCAAGGAGAGGAGAGAUCAUGCCCCGCUGUACCAAUUUCUGAAAUAAGCUGGCAUACAACUCUCUAAUUGGUGUGAAGCUAUCCCUCAAUUUCUGCCUCAUUUCAUUAUUUGGAUUGGAUCUAAAAUCGGGCCUAGAAAGGCUUUGAUAUAUUUGUGGAGUCCGAGGGUAACUCUGAGGAAUUGGUGCACACCAUUGUGAAUAAGAAGUGAGUUGAACAUAUAGUUGUACGCAGUAUACUCGAUAUGGAGGUGGGGAAAUGAAGUAUAAUGGAUUUUGAGAGGGAUUAUAGAGAGCUUGGUUACGAACUUGGGCCUAAGAUUAAUGACAACCACGACGUCGUCUUUUUGGAUGUGUCCAUUCUCCAACUACAAUAGCAACUGUAUCUUUCUCAUUCUUCUUCCCUCUAGUUUCCUUUAAUUGAUUACAAUAUUGUCCCAGAUAUUUCACGGAUUCCUCCUGUCCAUCUUGAUCCUCGAAUUUUGAUAUCUCAAGGAUUAGAGGAGGGUUAACAAUUGAAGACAUGCCCCAGUUUUUGUAUGAAACAUCUUCUUUACUCGCAAGUCUUAGGGAAAUUUUCACAGCAUUUCCUGUACUCUUCAUUUUUCCAACUAUUGUCUCUGGCUCUUCUAGCAUACUAGGCUUCUUGUUAAGAAAUUUUUGUGGUCCAAUUAACAUUGAUGUGGACUCAGGAAUAUAGCAAUGAUCAUCAAGAGUAUCAAACAUGAGUCCACUAGUAGAGUGGGGCAACACGACCGUUGGUUGAUAGCCAAAGUCAAAGCCUUAGUAGAAGGUUGAGCAAUAAAAGCACAGAUAGUAUAUGGUGUUAUCAAUGUAGUAGAUUUAUACUGAAGAGCUAGAGAAUGAGGGACGAAAGCAUUGGGAUGUUUUUGGCUUGGAAUGAAUUCUAAGGCAUCUUGUGGUACUUGGAAUGACUUCUGAGUCAUGUUGCGGUGCAUCAACAAUAGUAGGAAACUGACUUUGCAAUUUUGGUGGAAAACUAGAGAUAUUUGUAGGAUCAAUAGCGAGAAAUGGAGGAGGAGGCAACCCACUAACCCAAGAUCGAUACAUUUCAUUCAUUUGUUGUCUUAGUCUCCUAACCUCUUGCUUUAAACUCUCAUUUUCUAACUCUUUGUUUGAUCCAUGAUGUCACUCUCUAUAUCCUUGUUGGACACAAAUAACCUUUUGGAUUUGGUGUGAUGUGGAGGACCAGCCAGAAUGCCACAGACCAACCACCUUAAACUGACUUAACAAAAAAACAACAAAUGUGUUAAGAGUUUAACACUUUUCAAAACCUCUUUUUCCUUCUUUUUUUUUGAAAAGAUCAUCGAACCCAAGAAGGGCGCCUACGUAUCUCAUUCCCGAGAGAGGAGAAUCAGGUGUGUGUAGUUCGUGAAGUCUUGCCAAAAUGGCCAAUCAACCUCUUUUAUUUUUCUUUUUCUUGAAACUUUACGAAGAAAAGAAAAUAACAAAUUGUCAAAAGAAUUGAUGAAAAUCGUUUUGAAUUUUCAGCUUUAAAAUUUCUAUACAAAAUGAAACCUAUUAUUAUCAAAAAAAAUCUUUUUGGAUUUUUAAUUUUGCAUUCAUACAUAAAUAAAACUUGAAACUAUUAAAGGAAAAUCUUUUUAUGGUUUUCUUUUAGAGAUGUAUAUGGUACUUACUCUAAAUAAAGAGUGAAGAAGAUCUUUUUUUUGAAUUUUUAGAUUUCUAUACAAAAUGAAACCUAUUAUUAUCAAAAAAAAUCUUUUUGGAUUUUUAAUUUUGCAUUCAUACAUAAAUAAAACUUGAAACUAUUAAAGGAAAAUCUUUUUGUAGUUUUCUCUUGAAGAUGUAUAUGAAACACCUACUCUAAAUGAAGAGUGAAUAAAAUAUUUUUUGAAUUUUUGAAAUAAGAUCCUCGAACCCCCAAUAGGCUGCCUACGUAUCUCACUCCCGAGAUAGGAGAAUUAGGGGUGCGUAGUUCGUCCAGAUUGGACAAUUUAGGAUUAAAUAACCAAAACCCUAACUUGAGAGACACGAGCACAAACAUAAGAUGCAAAACGUUAAUAAAAUCUUUUUGAGUUUUCAAUUUGACACUUCACAUAAAAAUGAUACCAACAACUAUGAAAGAAAAAAUCUUUUUGAUAUUUUCGUGAAAUGUACAAAACUCCUACAAUUGUUUUUUUUUGCAUUUUUCUUUAAUAAAAACUCCUAUGAAUGAAAAAUCUUUUUGAAGUUUUCGAAUUGUGAAUGCAUGCUAAACGAGACAAAGGAAAAAUCUUUUUGAUGUUUUUAUUUUUGAGAAAUGAGUGCAAAAGGUAAAAAUCUUUUUUGAAUUUUUAGAUUGUAAAGAACCAAACCUAUAAAAAACUCUAAAAAAACUAUGAAACUCUUUUUUUCAAUUCACCUUUUCUCUUUUUCUCUUUUUUUUUUCAAACUUUUCCUUACCUACACACUUUCUUUAAUUCUAGAACAUGUUUUUGCCCAAAACAGUCUGUCAAAUAACUUCGUUACCCUCAAAGAUGCAACAUUUAGCAUGUAGGGAUACUUUAGAGGUGAGUCUCCUACAAAGGACCAAGUGGGUCCCGCUAGGUCUCAAUAUGAUGUAUAUAAGCUUGACCUAAAGGCUGACCUACGCUGAAGUUCACUAACAAGGCUAUUCGGGGGAGCGUAUGGUCGAUAGUGGCUGCGACAGCUUUCCACCUACUCAUACAACCCAACGGUCCCCCUUCCUAAAAUAAGGGUGACUCAACUAUAGGUCGUGUACACACGUGUACUACGGACUUAUUGCAGAAAGAAUGACUCAGGUUAUGCAUAUGAUGCCAGAUAUAAAUCGGUAAUACAUAAAGAAAAACUGUAAACAAAGAGCACGUAGAUGCACAACAGUGAUAACAAUAACACAAAUAAUAACUCAAACAAUGUUUAUACACCCAUAAUGCGAAACAAAGCCGAUACAACUCCAAAAAUAAGCUCGAAUUCUAAAAAAAUCCCCAGCAGAGUCGCCAGAGCUAUCACACCCUUUUUUUUUAACUCCAAAAAGAUUGAUUUUAAGUUUUGAAGGGUUUUUAUUAUCAAAGUGAUAGAAGAUGAAAAUUUAUUUCAAGAAGGACUAUUUACAUUUUUAUUCAGAGUCGUCAUUUGGCAUAAUCCGGUGUGCCAAGUCACCUUUGAAAGAUCCUUUACAAAAUGAUUUGACUCUUUAAAACUGGUUUGCGAAUAGAGAUUCCGGCUAAGGAAUUCUGUUGACCGAGGGGAAGGUGUUAGGCACCUCUCAAUUUCGUGGUUCGACCACAGUCGCUUGGUGGAGCGUAUCGGCUAAAUUUGACAUUAUGGAUGUAUAAAUCGACAAACAACAACCAUGAAAUAAGCAAGACAACCAAACAAAAAUAAGUCCAAAACAACAAUGUCCAGUUUAAUUUAUUACAAACCUAAAUAGAAAAUACUGAAAUAAACCUACCCUAACCUAUACUUAGUCCUAAACUAUACUCUACUCGAUGCCUUGGGCCUUGGUCACGAACAUCCUUUGCGUACAAAAUUCUUCGGGGUAUUCCUUGAUGAGUAAAUACAAAUAACCUCGAGGCAUUCCCCGAUUAAAUAAAUACAUUUUUUAAAUACGGUAAACAAAACAUUCAACAAAUAUUUCAAACAUUCCAACAAUCCACCAAUUCUAAAUUUGCCUACCCGAGCCUACUGUUUGCCUACCCGCUCGACGACAUAUCACGUUGAACAUCAACAAUGAAUCAAAAUACCAUAAUAUUCACUUUUAUUAAUUUUCAAUUCCCAUUCCCCAAAUCUAUUUUUAACCACAUGAUUAAAUCAAUUCUCUACGCCGUUUUUCAAUCAAGUUUUCAACUCCAAAUCCAACAUCAAACAAACAAAAAACGAGGAUUCAAACAUGCCAACCACACAAAUCAUUCAUAAAUCACAUAAAAAUUAUAAGAAGAAAAGGUAGAAUUGGACCUCAAUAGAGUGUUAUUAUAGAUAAUAAAGAAGUCCGACAAACCAAGAUCCUCGAGCAACGGACCCCAACAACGAGCAAACCAAAUCAGUGUAGAGAGUAAGAGAAACCCGCUACUAAUUUGUGGUUAACUGAAAACACUAAUUAACUUCGAACGACCUCCAAAAGCAAGAUGUCGACGACAAAUACUAAAGAUAGACCAACUCGAACCUCUCAAAAAUCCAAUGGAAAACUGAAAACUAGUAUAGUUUGAGCUCCAAUGAGCUGCGAUAUCGAGAUCCGACUAGUAAUGAACCAAAUCCCACAAAGAAAUCACCAAAAUCGCUUGAAAACGACCAGAAACAGUCAAUUCUUGUGAUUCCCGGUAUACUUUGACAUUUUCCCAGUGACAUUGUCGAAGAAAACUAUGAAUCAGUAAAGAAAUUUUGGGGAAUUUUGAAGCGGUGAUGAUUUUAAACCUAUGAUGCGUAAAAAUGAUCGAAAUAAUCAGUUCCGGUGAUAGGUUUGCUGGAAAACUCAAAACCCCGUUCCCCUCUCCCGAUCUCUUCUCUCUCUUUGUUACUCUCUCUCUCUCUUUUCCACUCCAUUUUUUGUGUGGGUGCAUGUGGAUUAGUUCGUGAAAAGAGAAAA